UACGUAGGGGGCAAGCGUUGUCCGGAAUCAUUGGGCGUAAAGCGCGCGUAGGCGGCCCGGUAAGUCCGCUGUAAAAGUCCAGGGCUCAACCCUGGAAAGCCGGUGGAUACUGUCGGGCUAGAGUCCGGAAGAGGAGAAUGGAAUUCCUGGUGUAGCGGUGAAAUGCGCAGAUAUCAGGAAGAACACCCGUGGCGAAGGCGGUUCUCUGGGACGGUACUGACGCUGAGACGCGAAAGCGUGGGGAGCGAACAGG
rnacentral:rRNA from 1 species